UUCUCUCCAGUGGGAAUGAAAAGAAAUGUGGCCCCAGUAAAACUGGAUUUUAAGGAGACAUUCGUAAAAAGCAUGUGUUUAAUUUCCCAUUUUGUCUUUAUAGCUAACAUAUCUGUCACUGGCAUAAUAGGAAGUACUGUUGAACUGAGAUGCGAUGAGUUAAAUGGCACGUUCAUCUUAAAUAACUUUCGAGUAACAUGGCGAAAAGAAGGGGAAAUAAAGUGCUUUGUAGAAACCUAUGAUUCUGAUGAAGAUCUGACUUCAUACCGUGAGAAAAACCAGUGUGCAGACUUCAGAGAUAGGACUCGGUUUAAGGAGGAACUGAAGGAGGGCAAAUUUACUCUGCAACUGUUAAGGAUCAGUCCUAAAGAUGAGUUCACAUAUACCUGUGUGGUACUGAAGAAGAAUGAAGAAGGAAAAUUUGAAGUACAUAGAGAAGUAAAAACAAACCUCAAAGUGGCAGCAAAUUACAGCGCGCCAGUUCUAACUCGCAUGCUAUCUGGAGAAGAAACGACGUUUAAUUGCACUUCUAGCCACGGGUACCCACAACCAAAAGUUUAUUGGGUAAAUCAUACUGACAUCAGCCUCUUGAACUCAACUGAACAGUAUACUAGAGCGCCUGACGGGACGAUCAGUGUUUUCAGUAUGUUAACAGUUAAAGCAGCUACUGCUAUCAAGUUAGAGUGUACAAUUGAGAAUGAGCAGCUGCACCAAAAUCUAACUGCCAGCAUUGACACAAGCAGUCCUGAAAAUAGCCCCUCGGUUGAUAACAGCCCAAGUAAGACAAAAGGUGCAGUUCUGGCUUCUGUGGCAGCUGUCUCAAUAGUCAUUCUACUUAUUUUCUACAUCGGGUGGAAGAAAAGGAGGACUUCUGUUCUAAUGACUUACACUGCUCCUGCUGAAAUAGGAAACAGAAAUUUUGGACUGCCAGAGUAAUGUUGCCUGGAAACAUUCCCACAGAGACUGAUGGUUGUGAGUUAUCUAUCUGCAGCAGAGCAUGGACUGGAGCAGAACACUUAUGUACCGCCAGCAGCUUGCCAUGUUUACCCUUCUACUGGUGAAAGGCAUAAUGCUACCUGGCCCACGUCUGAUAGAUAAAGGCUAUGCUAUAAAGUUAGUCCACCAAAAGAAACCCAGAAGGGGCACACUUCUUGGGCACAGCUCAGAACUGAUUCUGUGGGGGGGGAUUCAACAUACACCUUUGAGCUUUCCAAGGACUGCUUCACUUGUUAAUGACAUUUUGGUACUGAAGAAAUUCACGGAGGAGCAUUUUGUCAAUGGCUUAAUGGAGCUUCUUUGUUCCACAGCAGCAUAUGCCAGUGACUAGAACUUUCAUGCCUUGUUUUUCGGCUUCCUCGAAGCAAAUGAUUGGCCUCUUUUGGAAGUAGGCUGCCGGACUAGAUGGACCUGAUCCAGCCAAGGUGGUCAUCUUCUGAAGUGUGGCGGCACUUCUGAGCCCAGUCUUCCAGUGGUGGUAUAGAACGGAAGAUUGACAUGGAAUCAGUCCCCCAACAUUAGACCCAGAGGUCUGGUUGUAUAGGACAGACACACAAGGAUAGCUGUCUUUUUGGGGGGUAUAUCCCAUGGACACCACCUCCAGGUAGGUGGGCAGGUCUGUUAAUCAGUUGGGAAUAUGAUCCUCUACACCAGACAUCACUUUGGGACCAAGUUAGGCCAGAGUUCUCAUCCCAGCUUAAUGGCUUCAUCACAAUCUGAACGUCAACAUAUGCGUCUUACCUACGUGGGAACCAUAUUAACUGCAAGCUCUGACACUGUUGAAGGCAAUCUUGGGCAAAAAAUGAAAAGGCCUUGGGCUAAUUAUGAUUGCUUUUCCCUGUUAGAUACUUCAGCCAGCUAACAGUCAGCCCAGUUGUGUAACAAUAGCAAAUGGAAUGUUUCAAAUGCUGGCAUGUGAAUGCAUUGCCAUUUGCCAGAGCUUCUUCAAGAGCAGCUUUAGUGGACAGACAUCUCAUUUCAGUACAGCUGCAAAAUCUAAACAAACCGAAGGCUGGGCUUCAGACAUGCAAGAUUGCAAAGACAGGAACUUGUAAAUCCUAGUUGUAAUAUUUCAUCCCAAGUAUUCUAUGCAUUUGCAGGGGAAGUGUGAUGUGCAUUUACAGGUUGAACAUUGAAGGAGUACAGACAGCUCUGCUCUGUUCAUGCUUCCUCGUGAACAGUGUAUGCAGCAGAAGGAAUGCAGGGCUCUGGAUUUGUGCAAGUGUUCGUAUGAUUUACUGAGUUGUUGGCUUCAUGUUGCCAGUGUGCUAAGUCCGAACUGGAAGAUAUGAUGGCAAGGUAGGCAUGUGGAGAUAGCAGCACACAGCGAAUGGUGAUACAUGCAUUAAUCUGGGGUUUUAUUAGUAGAUUGGAUUAUUUCUCUUAACCCUUUAUGCCAUGCUUAGCCAUCUGAGUGUUAGAAAGGGGCAGUUCCAACUUGCCAUGUUGACUAAAUUACCUUAGAGGGUACAUGGAGCUUUCUGGAUCUCACUUAACACUUUUCAAGUAAAAUCUCAGGGUUACCAUGGAAGUCCUCAGAAUGUAUUUAUAUUAAUUGAUCCAUACAGUUAAAAUUUUGGCGUGCUAAAUCAAAAUCUGUUUAGCCCUGUGACAUCUGUGUUGAUUGGCAUGAUAAAGUAGACAAAUCUUGGGGCACAUACUUUAAACAACGUACUUUAUCAAUUCAAUCAUCAUUGACACCAGAAAAGCAAUGUAAAUUACAGCCUUGAUCAAACCAGAAGACUUGAAUUGUUUAUUAGCGAGCCAGUGGAAUUCUGUUGAUGGUCUUGUUACAACUCAGUCCUAAAUACUUGGGAAAGUAUUCAAUUAUUUCCUAAGUAAGCAUUGUUGAAAAACCUGCCUUAAAAGCACCAUUCUGCAUUUAUACUCUGCAAUUAUUGUACAUAUCGUACAAUAGAUGAACUGAAAAUUUUUAUGAAGCUAAUACUUUACUUAGUUAAUCUCACAGGGAUAUCAUCUAUUUGACUUUACAAAAAUAUAUUUUUUUAUUUCUUUGUUUAUAAAUUCUGCAAUGUGAAUGUGAAACUUUGGUCUGUUUCUUCCCAAACAAAUCAUGUCCUGGUUGUUGUUUUGUUCUAGUGCACUGUGAUAAAAUGGGUUUUCACACUGUUCAACACAUCAGUGGAAACUUCAGGUUUUACUUAUCUCAAUGCAGAUAACUCAUUUUCUCUCAUCCCACCCUUCACCUCCUAUUCCCUCACCGACAAAAGUCGGAUACUUCCACUGCUACCAGCAAAGGAAAAACAAAUUGGAAUUUUCCAGUUAUAAACACUUGUGCCCUGCGUGAAGCAUUAUCUUUCAUUUCUUUAGAAGUUUCCUGAAGACUGAUCUUUUAGUGCAGGUUCUACCUGAUGUAUAAGAUUGGACCUUGUACACAGUAUUUUUGCAUGGCAUUUUAAUUCUGUUUUUAUCACAUUGUUUCAGUGUUUGUAUGUUUUAUACUGUUGUACACUGCUUGGAGAUCAAGCAUGCACCUUCAAUGUACUCUUUUUGGCGCCUACUAAAAACAUUCUUGUUGUCUACCCUACUCAGAUCCUUAGAAAGUUGAGGUAACUUUAAUCUGUUUUAGUAUUUAAACUUUUGUGUGAAGUAUGGCUGUGAAUUUUUCUUGAACUGAAUUGCUUUAUCUUUUUGCAAGCUGCUUUGAGGCUUUUUACAAUCAUGCAAAUGAAGGGGCCUGACCACAGUUCAAAGACACAUUCCAAGAGAGCAUGAGCAAGCCAGAUAGAGGUUGCGGCCAUGGAAGAGAGUCCCCAGAGCUUGUCAGAGAGGACUAGAGGGUUCACGGACAGAAAGUUUGAUAUUCCUGAGUUACUUGCAUACCAUGGUUGUCAAGACUCUUAAACAACAUCUUCGCAGAGGCUACUUGGCAGUGCAUCCCAACAGGGCAGAGUAACCUAAUUUCUGAGUAAGUAAGCACCAACCUUUGGUUUUGACUUUGUAGCUAAAUAUACUGUGAGUUUGGCGCAGUGGUGAUUGCAGAAGAAUUUUGAGUACAUUUUGCUGCGGAUGGCUUGGUUCAUGAGAGGUUCAGUCACUGGUUUGCACACAGCCUUUAGACUCUCCAGGUACCUUCCCGAUACCAAACUUUAAUAAUUUCAGGGCACUUACCACACACCCAAUCAUGUUAUGUUACACUGAAUGAGACCAUGCCUAUAUCUGAUUUCUCAAGGGGUAUACAGUGGAACCUUGGUUCCUGAACUUAAUCCAUUCCGAGAGUCUGUUCGAUUCCCAAAAAAGUUCGGGAACCAAGGAGUGGCUUCUGAUUGGCUGCAGAAGCCGCG